GGUUAAGCGACUAAGCGUACACGGUGGAUGCCCUGGCAGUCAGAGGCGAUGAAGGACGUGCUAAUCUGCGAUAAGCGUCGGUGAGGUGAUAUGAACCGUUAUAACCGGCGAUUUCCGAAUGGGGAAACCCAGUGUGUUUCGACACACUAUCAUUAACUGAAUCCAUAGGUUAAUGAGGCGAACCGGGGGAACUGAAACAUCUAAGUACCCCGAGGAAAAGAAAUCAACCGAGAUUCCCCCAGUAGCGGCGAGCGAACGGGGAGGAGCCCAGAGCCUGAAUCAGUGUGUGUGUUAGUGGAAGCGUCUGGAAAGGCGUGCGAUACAGGGUGACAGCCCCGUACACAAAAAUGCACAUAUUGUGAGCUCGAUGAGUAGGGCGGGACACGUGGUAUCCUGUCUGAAUAUGGGGGGACCAUCCUCCAAGGCUAAAUACUCCUGACUGACCGAUAGUGAACCAGUACCGUGAGGGAAAGGCGAAAAGAACCCCGGCGAGGGGAGUGAAAAAGAACCUGAAACCGUGUACGUACAAGCAGUGGGAGCCUCUUUAUGGGGUGACUGCGUACCUUUUGUAUAAUGGGUCAGCGACUUAUAUUCUGUAGCAAGGUUAACCGAAUAGGGGAGCCGAAGGGAAACCGAGUCUUAACUGGGCGUUAAGUUGCAGGGUAUAGACCCGAAACCCGGUGAUCUAGCCAUGGGCAGGUUGAAGGUUGGGUAACACUAACUGGAGGACCGAACCGACUAAUGUUGAAAAAUUAGCGGAUGACUUGUGGCUGGGGGUGAAAGGCCAAUCAAACCGGGAGAUAGCUGGUUCUCCCCGAAAGCUAUUUAGGUAGCGCCUCGUGAAUUCAUCUCCGGGGGUAGAGCACUGUUUCGGCAAGGGGGUCAUCCCGACUUACCAACCCGAUGCAAACUGCGAAUACCGGAGAAUGUUAUCACGGGAGACACACGGCGGGUGCUAACGUCCGUCGUGAAGAGGGAAACAACCCAGACCGCCAGCUAAGGUCCCAAAGUCAUGGUUAAGUGGGAAACGAUGUGGGAAGGCCCAGACAGCCAGGAUGUUGGCUUAGAAGCAGCCAUCAUUUAAAGAAAGCGUAAUAGCUCACUGGUCGAGUCGGCCUGCGCGGAAGAUGUAACGGGGCUAAACCAUGCACCGAAGCUGCGGCAGCGACACUAUGUGUUGUUGGGUAGGGGAGCGUUCUGUAAGCCUGUGAAGGUGGCCUGUGAGGGUUGCUGGAGGUAUCAGAAGUGCGAAUGCUGACAUAAGUAACGAUAAAGCGGGUGAAAAGCCCGCUCGCCGGAAGACCAAGGGUUCCUGUCCAACGUUAAUCGGGGCAGGGUGAGUCGACCCCUAAGGCGAGGCCGAAAGGCGUAGUCGAUGGGAAACAGGUUAAUAUUCCUGUACUUGGUGUUACUGCGAAGGGGGGACGGAGAAGGCUAUGUUGGCCGGGCGACGGUUGUCCCGGUUUAAGCGUGUAGGCUGGUUUUCCAGGCAAAUCCGGAAAACCAAGGCUGAGGCGUGAUGACGAGGCACUACGGUGCUGAAGCGACAAAUGCCCUGCUUCCAGGAAAAGCCUCUAAGCAUCAGGUAACAUCAAAUCGUACCCCAAACCGACACAGGUGGUCAGGUAGAGAAUACCAAGGCGCUUGAGAGAACUCGGGUGAAGGAACUAGGCAAAAUGGUGCCGUAACUUCGGGAGAAGGCACGCUGAUAUGUAGGUGAAGCGACUUGCUCGUGGAGCUGAAAUCAGUCGAAGAUACCAGCUGGCUGCAACUGUUUAUUAAAAACACAGCACUGUGCAAACACGAAAGUGGACGUAUACGGUGUGACGCCUGCCCGGUGCCGGAAGGUUAAUUGAUGGGGUUAGCGGUAACGCGAAGCUCUUGAUCGAAGCCCCGGUAAACGGCGGCCGUAACUAUAACGGUCCUAAGGUAGCGAAAUUCCUUGUCGGGUAAGUUCCGACCUGCACGAAUGGCGUAAUGAUGGCCAGGCUGUCUCCACCCGAGACUCAGUGAAAUUGAACUCGCUGUGAAGAUGCAGUGUACCCGCGGCAAGACGGAAAGACCCCGUGAACCUUUACUAUAGCUUGACACUGAACAUUGAGCCUUGAUGUGUAGGAUAGGUGGGAGGCUUUGAAGUGUGGACGCCAGUCUGCAUGGAGCCGACCUUGAAAUACCACCCUUUAAUGUUUGAUGUUCUAACGUUGGCCCGUAAUCCGGGUUGCGGACAGUGUCUGGUGGGUAGUUUGACUGGGGCGGUCUCCUCCUAAAGAGUAACGGAGGAGCACGAAGGUUGGCUAAUCCUGGUCGGACAUCAGGAGGUUAGUGCAAUGGCAUAAGCCAGCUUGACUGCGAGCGUGACGGCGCGAGCAGGUGCGAAAGCAGGUCAUAGUGAUCCGGUGGUUCUGAAUGGAAGGGCCAUCGCUCAACGGAUAAAAGGUACUCCGGGGAUAACAGGCUGAUACCGCCCAAGAGUUCAUAUCGACGGCGGUGUUUGGCACCUCGAUGUCGGCUCAUCACAUCCUGGGGCUGAAGUAGGUCCCAAGGGUAUGGCUGUUCGCCAUUUAAAGUGGUACGCGAGCUGGGUUUAGAACGUCGUGAGACAGUUCGGUCCCUAUCUGCCGUGGGCGCUGGAGAACUGAGGGGGGCUGCUCCUA
rnacentral:rRNA from 1 species